UGGACAGAGGGACGGAGGGACGCGCAUCCAGCCGGUCGCGUCCAGCUGCCUGCAGCAGUCUCCGACACUCGCUGCUGCCUGCCCGCUGUCCGCCUGCCUGGCAUCUCUCGAUCCCGGCAAAACUGUGCAACAAGGAAGGGACUUCCUCAGGAGGAAAUGUGCUCCCUGUCAGCAGGAGCCAAGUGGAGGCUGGUGGCCUUGGAACCCCACCCCACCAGCCCCUAGCGCCAGAAGAAGCCGUAAGAGCUGCUGCCCACUCCAUGAGAGGCCCAGGGACUUGGGAGGAGACCUAGGUAGAUCACAGCAGCAGCCCCAGCCUCCCUGUCUGCAAUCACAGGAGCCAGUGCACUGAGGAGGUGCUCAGGUGCCUCCUCCAUCUCACUCUGUCCCUGUGUCUAUAGGGACAUAAAACAGACCACCUGCGUGGUGCCAGCAGUGUGCAUUCACCUGUAACCACUGAGCUGGGCCUGGGGCCUUAGGGCCACAGCAAGAUGGAUGGGUUGGGGAUGGAUGGAUGGAUGGAUGGAUGGAUGGAUGGAUGGAUAGAUGGGUGGAUGGGAAGCUGGGGGGAACAAAGAGAGAGAGUGAAGAUUUAUUCACAGUUGACUACAUCCCUGGGCCUGCCCUCAAGGAGCCACAGUCCAGGAGGAGAGGUAAAUCACUGAAGAGCCAGUGUGCUGCAAGACAGGGCUCCUGGGAGCUCACCCCUAGCUGGGAGGUUGAGGAAGGGAGGCUUCUUGGAGCAGGUGAUGACUGAGGAUGGAACCUGAAAAGACGAGGAUAAGUCAACUAGGCAAAGAAAUUGAGACAGAAGGUGGGCAAGGAGCUGGCAUGGGAGUGGGCCUGGGGCUGGGGAGGAGAAGUGAAUGGUGUGGGA